rnacentral:rRNA from 1 species
AAACCAAAGUUUUUCGGUUCCAGGGGAAGUAUGGUUGCAAAGCUGAAACUUAAAGGAAUUGACGGAAGGGCACCACCAGGAGUGGAGCCUGCGGCUUAAUUUGACUCAACACGGGGAAACUCACCCGGCCCGGACACUGGAAGGAUUGACAGAUUGAGAGCUCUUUCUUGAUUCAGUGGGUGGUGGUGCAUGGCCGUUCUUAGUUGGUGGAGUGAUUUGUCUGGUUAAUUCCGAUAACGAACGAGACUCUAGCCUACUAAAUAGACCUUGACAUUUUUAAUACUGGCAAGGUGCUUCUUAGAGGGACAAACGGCGUUUCAGCCGUAUGAGAAAGAGCAAUAACAGGUCUGUGAUGCCCUUAGAUGUCCGGGGCCGCACGCGCGCUACACUGAAGAGAUCAACGCGCAUGUACUUCCUGUUCCGAAAGGAAUGGGGAACCGAGUGAACCUUUUUCGUGCUUGGGAUUGGGGAUUGCAAUUAUUGUCCAUGAACGAGGAAUUCCCAGUAAGCACAAGUCAUCAGCUUGUGUUGAUUACGUCCCUGCCCUUUGUACACACCGCCCGUCGCUACUACC